UCCACAUCAACCAUUACUUUUCAUCCUCAAGCCUUUGCUGAAGGCUAUGGAACCCAGCUUUGGCUGGGUCUGAGUGCAGAGACCUAAGAGGAUCUGGUUUGAAACCUCUUUCCCUGUGAGAAGAGAGUCAGUGACCAAAUGUAGAGACAGCAGUGAAUUAUUGAUGGACCUACAUGUUUUACACAUACAGAUGCUGCUAAAGACAGUUUUCCCCUAAAAUCAGCAGUUAGCAAAUGUUUUAAUUAGAUCAAGGCAUUCCUACCUUGUAGGUUGUUCCAGAAUCUUGGGGUGAGAACAUUUGUAAUUUGCAAAAGUAAUAUUUUAUCUGUGGAAGGCAAGCACAUGGAAGAAAAAUCUAUUGUCUUGUACUAUAAACUAAAGAAAAUAAACAAAAUCAUCCUGGCUGUGGGAUGUACAAAUGUUCAGUGUUAUAUGUGUGUCAGUCACUGAUAGAGGGCUGGGGAAAAAACUAAAGUCUGCCACAGGGACUGAGUGGCAGAGAUAUUUAUGCUUAUCAGAGGUGGCGGGCAGGCAUCAAGAAAUUUUGAGAAAGUGAAUUAAAGUCUUAUAAAUACUUUAGUCAUAAAGGCCAAUGAUGAUUGUAUUAUACUUUCUGCAUUUGUUAAAAUACAACAUAAUCAUAUUUGGCAUCUAAUCACUCCAGAUUUUGUGGUAGCCACUGGGAUCCACCAACCACCUUUGUCCCUAGGAGCACAUGAUUUAAUAAAGAAGACAGAUACAGGGACUAUUAACACUCUACCAUGAUAAGUAUCAUAACAGAUAAAUGUUUAAAGAACUCAGAGAAGAGAGGGAUGGAUUUCUAGUUGUUCAACUGUGUUUAUAUAUCUUUAUGGUAGACAUCAUAAGUCAACAUUGGGGAACCCUAUAUUCAACCUUAUAAAAUAAUGUAAAUAUUUUUAAAAUCCUGUAAAACCUAUAAUCCUCCCAGCAUCCCAGGAGCAGCAUUGUCCCUGUGGGAGGACUUGAUUGAAGCCUACAAGGAUGAGAUGACUGAGAUACUAGUACCAGAUGAUCAGGGUCAUCAUCCAGAUCAAAGGGGACUUCAAGUCUAGCCUCUUCUGUGACAUCACACUAAAUGUGUCCCCUCCUUUUUUUAAAAAAACUAAGAUACAAACUUUGGUUUCAUUUCUGGGACCAAACAUAGUCAACAUUUUCCGGAAUUAAAACCUGUAAGAAAUUUGUUCUUAAGUUCCAAUGUAUAAUCUCUUGAAGAGCUUCCUUCUUUAUGGGCUCACCUUACAGAUGCGCUGUGAGUUAAAAGAAAAGGCCAGGCUUGGGAAGCAGAGAGACCUGUUUCAAAUCUGUCUUAGGACUCACUGGCUGUGCCAGCUUAGGCCAGAAUCAACAGGCUCUGGUCUCAGUCCCUGUAGUGGCACACUGGGGAAACAGAUGACAUCGUAAGAUGAGCACAGGCCCUGGCCCUGGGUAGCUGCCUUGACCCUAUCUCUGCUGCCACCAUCCUAC
rnacentral:lncRNA from 10 species